rnacentral:rRNA from 1 species
GACGAACGCUGGCGGCGUGCUUAACACAUGCAAGUCGAACGGAAAGGCCCUGCUUUUGUGGGGUGCUCGAGUGGCGAACGGGUGAGUAACACGUGAGUAACCUGCCCUUGACUUUGGGAUAACUUCAGGAAACUGGGGCUAAUACCGGAUAGGAGCUCCUGCUGCAUGGUGGGGGUUGGAAAGUUUCGGCGGUUGGGGAUGGACUCGCGGCUUAUCAGCUUGUUGGUGGGGUAGUGGCUUACCAAGGCUUUGACGGGUAGCCGGCCUGAGAGGGUGACCGGCCACAUUGGGACUGAGAUACGGCCCAGACGCCUACGGGAGGCAGCAGUGGGGAAUAUUGCACAAUGGGCGGGAGCCUGAUGCAGCAACGCCGCGUGCGGGAUGACGGCCUUCGGGUUGUAAACCGCUUUCGCCUGUGACGAAGCGUGAGUGACGGUAAUGGGUAAAGAAGCACCGGCUAACUACGUG